rnacentral:lncRNA from 1 species
UGCGUGUUUCGCGAGGAGGAUCAGAGGAGGAGAAAGCAAGCGAAUCACUGCCCAAGUGUGUCACCCUCAUUCAGGUGUCAUGAAGGGCCUGGAAUUGUAGAAUGGUUGAGGAUCCAGGUGUGACAGCUGAGGCUCCAGAAAAUGGGAAUGCAACUAAACCAACCCAGAGGUUUUCUCAGACCUCUCUGUCCCAACAUGGCCUGGCUGUUGGUGUUGCACCAUGAGCACAGAUAACCCUUCCCUGGAACAACCCCAUUCUGCGGGAUUGAAGCUCACCAAGCCCUCAGACCUCAUCAAGACUCUUUGUCCAGCAUGGAAAAGAAGGAUUUCCCCCCUCCUUCAAACCUCCCUAUCACUUGCUCAGAGGCUCAGGUGUGUUCUGGCUGUGUCUGUGCUGGGGAGGGAUCAGCAGGACAACAGGAGUUUCUGGCCCAGAUGGCCUCCAUCCUUUUCUGUUACCUAGCUGAAACCAGAGGAGCUUUUAACUGAGAACAAAUGAUUUUAGGCCCUCUUCAUGCUGCCACACUUUGAAAAUGUUAUUCCCCAAUGCCUGGUGUGCCUGUAACAUGUUUUAACUUCUAUGUGAGUAAAUGCUGGGCUCUUGCAGGUCUGCAGCACAGCUCCUGG